rnacentral:rRNA from 1 species
AUUGAACGCUGGCGGCAUGCCUUACACAUGCAAGUCGAACGGUAACGCGGGGCAACCUGGCGACGAGUGGCGAACGGGUGAGUAAUGCAUCGGAACGUGCCCGGUAGUGGGGGAUAACUGCUCGAAAGCGCAGCUAAUACCGCAUACGACCUGAGGGUGAAAGGGGGGGAUCGCAAGACCUCUCGCUAUCGGAGCGGCCGAUGUCGGAUUAGCUAGUUGGUGGGGUAAGGGCCUACCAAGGCGACGAUCCGUAGCUGGUCUGAGAGGACGACCAGCCACACUGGGACUGAGACACGGCCCAGACUCCUACGGGAGGCAGCAGUGGGGAAUUUUGGACAAUGGACGCAAGUCUGAUCCAGCCAUGCCGCGUGCGGGAAGAAGGCCUUCGGGUUGUAAACCGCUUUUGUCAGGGAAGAAAUCUUCUGAGUUAAUACCUCGGGAGGAUGACGGUACUUGAAGAAUAAGCACCGGCUAACUACGUGCCAGCAGCCGCCGCUGUAA